GAUGAACGCUGGCGGCGUGCCUAAUACAUGCAAGUCGAACGAAACUUCUUUAUCACCGAGUGCUUGCACUCACCGAUAAAGAGUUGAGUGGCGAACGGGUGAGUAACACGUGGGCAACCUGCCCAAAAGAGGGGGAUAACACUUGGAAACAGGUGCUAAUACCGCAUAACCAUAGUUACCGCAUGGUAACUAUGUAAAAGGUGGCUAUACUACCGCUUUUGGAUGGGCCCGCGGCGCAUUAGCUAGUUGGUAGGGUAAAGGCUUACCAAGGCAAUGAUGCGUAGCCGAAUUGAGAGGUUGAUCGGCCACAUUGGGACUGAGACACGGCCCAAACUCCUACGGGAGGCAGCAGUAGGGAAUCUUCCACAAUGGGCGAAAGUCUGAUGGAGCAACGCCGCGUGGGUGAAGAAGGUCUUCGGAUCGUAAAACCCUGUUGUUAGAGAAGAAAGUGCGUGAGAGUAACUGUUCACGUUUCGACGGUAUCUAACCAGAAAGCCACGGCUAACUACGUG
rnacentral:rRNA from 1 species